UUAUGGCCAUAUUGCCCUAAAGAACCGGUUCCCAUACCAUCACUGAAGUUAGGAAACGUUAAGCCUGGUCAGUACCUAGAUGGGUGACGACUUGGGAAUACCAGAUGAUGCAAG